rnacentral:lncRNA from 1 species
UAAAGAUUAAAAUAUAUUAGUGUUUACAAAACGAGGGCUUUACAAUCACAUAACGGCAACAAAUAAACACACAAAGUUCUAAACUAAUGGAAUCAGUGCUUGACUGUAAACACACCUCCCAGUCUGUCUACUGGUGCACCAGUUUCCCAUUGAGCUUGAAGGCCUGGGAAACUUCAACACAGGUCACAUCAAUGUCACAUUACACUCACAACAGUGAUGCACAACCUGCACAACACUUUUACACUAAUACAGUACAGUAAUACAGGGGGAUUUCUCAAUUUAGACCUUUUCAACUUCCACUUUAUUAGAAAUAUUCACUGGCCACUUUAUUAGAAACACCUACAACAGUCCAUCUUGUGCUUCCAUUCUCUGGCCACUUCAGAAGAAACACCUAUCCCAAUCCACAUUGUGCAUCCACUCACCGGUCACUUUAUUAGAAACACCCUCCACCUUGUGCUUCCACUCAUUGGCCACUUUAUUAGAAACACCUAUCAUCUUCCAUCUUGUGCUUCCACUCACUGGCCACUUUACUAGAAACACCUAUCACCUACCAUCUUGAGCUUGCACUCACUGGCCACUUUGUUAGAAACACCAUCCACCCUCCACCUUGUGCUUGAACUCACUGGCCACUUUAUUAGAAACACCUACCACCCUCCACCUUGUGCUUCCACUCACUGGCCACUUUAUUAGAAACACCUACCAUCUUUCACCUUGUGCUUCCCACUCACUGGCCACUUUAUUAGAAACACCUACCACCCUCCACCUUGUGCUUCCACUCACUGGCCACUUUAUUAGAAACACCUACCAUCUUUCACCUUGUGCUUCCCACUCACUGGCCACUUUAUUAGAAACACCAUCCACCCUCCACCUUGUGCUUGAACUCACUGGCCACUUUAGAAGAAACACUUAUCACCUUCCAUCUUUUGCUUCCACUCACUGGCCACUUUAUUAGAAACACCCAUCACCUUCCAACUUGUGCUUCUACUCACUGGCCACUUUAUUAGAAACACCUACCACCUUACAUCUUGUGCUUGCACUCACUGGCCACUUUAUUAGAAACAACUAUUCAUCACUGGUUGGUUGCUGACCACAUUAUUGUUGUCGACCAAAGAUGGUGGAGCUACAAGAGUAGUGUUCUAAUAAAUACAUCCUCUCUUUCUCCA